rnacentral:rRNA from 1 species
GGGACACGUGGUAUCCUGUCUGAAUAUGGGGGGACCAUCCUCCAAGGCUAAAUACUCCUGACUGACCGAUAGUGAACCAGUACCGUGAGGGAAAGGCGAAAAGAACCCCGGCGAGGGGAGUGAAAAAGAACCUGAAACCGUGUACGUACAAGCAGUGGGAGCACGCUUAGGCGUGUGACUGCGUACCUUUUGUAUAAUGGGUCAGCGACUUAUAUUCUGUAGCAAGGUUAACCGAAUAGGGGAGCCGAAGGGAAACCGAGUCUUAACUGGGCGUUAAGUUGCAGGGUAUAGACCCGAAACCCGGUGAUCUAGCCAUGGGCAGGUUGAAGGUUGGGUAACACUAACUGGAGGACCGAACCGACUAAUGUUGAAAAAUUAGCGGAUGACUUGUGGCUGGGGGUGAAAGGCCAAUCAAACCGGGAGAUAGCUGGUUCUCCCCGAAAGCUAUUUAGGUAGCGCCUCGUGAAUUCAUCUCCGGGGGUAGAGCACUGUUUCGGCAAGGGGGUCAUCCCGACUUACCAACCCGAUGCAAACUGCGAAUACCGGAGAAUGUUAUCACGGGAGACACACGGCGGGUGCUAACGUCCGUCGUGAAGAGGGAAACAACCCAGACCGCCAGCUAAGGUCCCAAAGUCAUGGUUAAGUGGGAAACGAUGUGGGAAGGCCCAGACAGCCAGGAUGUUGGCUUAGAAGCAGCCAUCAUUUAAAGAAAGCGUAAUAGCUCACUGGUCGAGUCGGCCUGCGCGGAAGAUGUAACGGGGCUAAACCAUGCACCGAAGCUGCGGCAGCGACGCUUAUGCGUUGUUGGGUAGGGGAGCGUUCUGUAAGCCUGUGAAGGUGUGCUGUGAGGCAUGCUGGAGGUAUCAGAAGUGCGAAUGCUGACAUAAGUAACGAUAAAGCGGGUGAAAAGCCCGCUCGCCGGAAGACCAAGGG